UACGUAGGGUGCAAGCGUUAAUCGGAAUUACUGGGCGUAAAGCGUGCGCAGGCGGUCUUGCAAGACAGAUGUGAAAUCCCCGGGCUUAACCCUGGGAACUGCAUUUGUGACUGCAAGGCUGGAGUGCGGCAGAGGGGGAUGGAAUCCGCGUGUAGCAGUGAAAUGCGUAGAUAUGCGGAGGAACACCGAUGGCGAAGGCAAUCCCCUGGGCCUGCACUGACGCUCAUGCGCGAAAGCGUGGGGAGCAAACAGG
rnacentral:rRNA from 1 species